rnacentral:lncRNA from 1 species
AUGAUCUCCAAGAGCAAUACUUCACAGACUUGUCAACAAGCCACGUGGCGCUGCUUCAACACCCACCCCAGGCCAGGCCUCCCCGGCCCAGGCUGCCCAGAGGGCCCGGCUCAGCGGCAGGGGCCUCCGCCCUACCCUGGGCCCGGCCUCCCUGGGCUGGGUCUUCCCGCGCCAGGCCUCUCCGGGCCCGGCUCAGCGGCAGGGGCCUCCGCCCCACCCCGGGCAGGCUGUGCUUCCGGGGAGGGGACCUGCAGGUGCACCUGGGCCCCAGGUCUCAGGGACCACGGCCAGCCUCUCACGGGAUCUGCUGUCGACGGCAACCAGAGAGAGCCGCAUCUGUGUGGGGCGCUGGCCCUUUGCCAUGGUACCUGUGUGCACGGCCGGUGGCCAGUGCCAGCGAAGGGACACGGCCGGUGCCGUCUGCGCUGGUGGGGACCCUGCUCCUGACCCUGUCCGACCCGCAGCUUAGCAGUGAGCAUGUUCCGGGCAUAGGCACAGUGGCAAAGAACAGUGUAACAGCCGCUGGACAGUUCCAUUUGGUGGCAGCGCGGUAGCAGCAGAGUCCCCAGACAGCUCCGUGUCCAGCUUUUUGGAAAGGAAAGAUUUAAAAAAUCAAUACCGUUUUUUUCUUCUUCUUUUUGUUAAUCCAUCCCAGGGCUUGCGGGUUCGUGGUAACUGCUCUACCGACGGCGACAACGACAGACGGUCCAUGGCAGUGGUGUGGAAGCGGAGUGACAGGAUGGCGCCUGUCAGGGGAAACGCGACCUCAAGCACAUCUGUCGCAUCGUACAGACCGCGGGCAGCGCCUCCUGUUUCCUGAAGUGCGAGCACACAGCGCGGGGCGCUCCACGCGGAGUCAGCGGGAGCGGGGUCCAGACGCAGGCACUCACGCUGCGGGCGCCACGGCCUGCCGCGUGCCACACGCUGUCCCGGCAGGGUCGCGGCUGGGGGAGGCAGGCUCCUGUGACUCCCUCCUGCCUCGCCUGCCCCGCCCCAGCCCGUGACACACGCACACCCACAUGCACACGCACUCACACAUGCACGCACACACACACUCAUGCACGCACACUCUCCACCAGGUUCUAGAAAAUUGUCAUUUUCAUCUUAGAGUCUCUAAGACAAUAAAAGACUAAAAGAUAUCUGGAAAUACGUCGUG